GUGCCAGCCGCCGCGGUAAUACGUAGGGGGCGAGCGUUGUUCGGAUUUACUGGGCGUAAAGCGCGCGUAGGCGGCCUGAUAAGUCGGAUGUGAAACCCCUCGGCUUAACCGAGGAUCCGCAGCCGAAACUGCCAGGCUUGAGUCUAGGAGAGGAGAGCGGAAUUCCCAGUGUAGCGGUGAAAUGCGUAGAUAUUGGGAGGAACACCAGUGGCGAAGGCGGCUCUCUGGACUAGUACUGACGCUGAGGCGCGAAAGCUAGGGGAGCGAACGGGAUUAGAUACCCUGGUAGUCC
rnacentral:rRNA from 1 species